rnacentral:rRNA from 1 species
UAAGACGUAGGGUGCAAGCGUUGUCCGGAUUUACUGGGCGUAAAGAGCGCGUAGGCGGUCUGUUAAGUGAGAAGUGAAAGCUCUGGGCUCAACCCAAAAAUUGCUUUUCAUACUGGCAGACUGGAGUGAUGCAGAGGUUUGUGGAAUUCCUGGUGUAGCGGUGAAAUGCGUUGAUAUCAGGAGGAACACCGAUGGCGAAGGCAGCAAACUGGGCAUUAACUGACGCUGAGGCGCGAAAGCGUGGGUAGCAAACAGGAUUAGAUACCCUGGUAGUCCACGCCCUAAACGAUGGAUACUAGGCGUUGGAGGUAUCGACCCCUCCAGUGCCGCAGCUAACGCACUAAGUAUCCCGCCUGGGGACUACGGCCGCAAGGUUG